CUGGCGGCGUGCCUAACACAUGCAAGUCGAACGAGAAAGUGGAGCAAUCCAUGAGUAAAGUGGCGACCGGGUGAGUAACACGUGACUGACCUACCUCCGAGUGGGGAAUAACUCCGGGAAACCGGGGCUAAUACCGCAUAACAUCGCAAGAUCAAAGCAGCAAUGCGCUUGGAGAGGGGGUCGCGGCUGAUUAGCUCGUUGGCGGGGUAACGGCCCACCAAGGCGAAGAUCGGUAUCCGGCCUGAGAGGGCGCACGGACACACUGGAACUGAAACACGGUCCAGACUCCUACGGGAGGCAGCAGUGGGGAAUUUUGCGCAAUGGGGGAAGCCCUGACGCAGCAACGCCGCGUGGAGGAUGAAGCCCUUUGGGGCGUAAACUCCUUUCGACUCGGACGAUAAUGACGGUACGAGUGGAAGAAGCACCGGCUAACUCUGUGCCAGCAGCCGCGGUAAUACAGAGGGUGCGAGCGUUGUUCGGAAUUAUUGGGCGUAAAGGGCGCGUANGCGGUGCGGUAAGUCACCUGUGAAAUCUCCCGGCUUAACUGGGAGCCUGCAGGCGAAACUACCGUGCUGGAGUGUGGGAGAGGUGCGUGGAAUUCCCGGUGUAGCGGUGAAAUGCGU
rnacentral:rRNA from 1 species